rnacentral:rRNA from 2 species
GGGGAAAGGUUCCGAUAUACAUGCAGUCGUACGAACUCUGCGUAUUGAUUGGUGCUUGCAUCAUGAUUUACAUUUGAGUGAGUGGCGAACUGGUGAGUAACACGUGGGAAACCUGCCCAGAAGCGGGGGAUAACACCUGGAAACAGAUGCUAAUACCGCAUAACAACUUGGACCGCAUGGUCCGAGCUUGAAAGAUGGCUUCGGCUAUCACUUUUGGAUGGUCCCGCGGCGUAUUAGCUAGAUGGUGGGGUAACGGCUCACCAUGGCAAUGAUACGUAGCCGACCUGAGAGGGUAAUCGGCCACAUUGGGACUGAGACACGGCCCAAACUCCUACGGGAGGCAGCAGUAGGGAAUCUUCCACAAUGGACGAAAGUCUGAUGGAGCAACGCCGCGUGAGUGAAGAAGGGUUUCGGCUCGUAAAACUCUGUUGUUAAAGAAGAACAUAUCUGAGAGUAACUGUUCAGGUAUUGACGGUAUUUAACCAGAAAGCCACGGCUAACUACGUGCCAGCAGCCGCGGUAAUACGUAGGUGGCAAGCGUUGUCCGGAUUUAUUGGGCGUAAAGCGAGCGCAGGCGGUUUUUUAAGUCUGAUGUGAAAGCCUUCGGCUCAACCGAAGAAGUGCAUCGGAAACUGGGAAACUUGAGUGCAGAAGAGGACAGUGGAACUCCAUGUGUAGCGGUGAAAUGCGUAGAUAUAUGGAAGAACACCAGUGGCGAAGGCGGCUGUCUGGUCUGUAACUGACGCUGAGGCUCGAAAGUAUGGGUAGCAAACAGGAUUAGAUACCCUGGUAGUCCAUACCGUAAACGAUGAAUGCUAAGUGUUGGAGGGUUUCCGCCCUUCAGUGCUGCAGCUAACGCAUUAAGCAUUCCGCCUGGGGAGUACGGCCGCAAGGCUGAAACUCAAAGGAAUUGACGGGGGCCCGCACAAGCGGUGGAGCAUGUGGUUUAAUUCGAAGCUACGCGAAGAACCUUACCAGGGCUUGGCUUACUAUGCAAAUC